GGGCCGAGGCCGGGGCGGGAUCCAGAGCAGGAGCCGGCGCGGGAUCUGGGACCCGGCGCGGGAUCUGGGACUCGGAGCGGGAUCCGGAGCGGGACCCGGGAGCCGGCGCGGGGCCAUGGCGAGGCGCGGGCCAGGGUGGCGGCCGCUUCUGCUGCUCGUGCUGCUGGCGGGCGCGGCGCAGGGCGGCCUCUACUUCCGCCCGGGACAGACCUGCUACCGGCCUCUGCGGGAGGACGGGCUGGCUCUGCUUGGGCGCAGCACAUACCCCCGGCCUCAUGAGUACCUGUCCCCAGCGGAUCUGCCCAAGAGCUGGGACUGGCGCAAUGUGGAUGGUGUCAACUAUGCCAGCAUCACCCGGAACCAGCACAUCCCCCAAUACUGCGGCUCCUGCUGGGCCCACGCCAGCACCAGCGCUAUGGCGGAUCGGAUCAACAUCAAGAGGAAGGGAGCAUGGCCCUCCACCCUCCUGUCCGUGCAGAACGUCAUCGACUGUGGUAAUGCUGGCUCCUGUGAAGGGGGUAAUGACCUGUCCGUGUGGGACUACGCCCACCAGCACGGCGUCCCCGAUGAGACCUGCAACAACUACCAGGCCAAGGACCAGGAGUGUGACAAGUUUAACCAAUGUGGGACAUGCAAUGAAUUCAAAGAGUGCCACGCCAUCCGCAACUACACCCUCUGGAGGGUGGGAGACUAUGGCUCCCUCUCUGGGAGGGAGAAGAUGAUGGCAGAAAUCUACGCAAAUGGUCCCAUCAGCUGUGGAAUAAUGGCAACAGAAAGAUUGGCUAACUACACCGGAGGCAUCUAUGCCGAAUACCAGGACACCACCUAUAUAAACCAUGUCGUUUCUGUGGCUGGGUGGAGCAUCAGCGAUGGGACUGAGUACUGGAUUGUCCGGAAUUCAUGGGGUGAACCAUGGGUAAGAUGUCUUCAUUUUCUUAAGGUCAUUCCUAGAAAAAAACAUCCUGGUA
rnacentral:sRNA from 1 species